GUCAGAACCUAUAGGUUGACUUCUCCAGGACUUCGAGGUACAAUCUCUUCAGCACUUUGAGCCCAUUGAAGGCCCCUGUCUGAAUGUCCUGGAGUGCAUUGUUCCCAAGAAUCAACCAAAAGACCUGGGUAAAAAGCUGAAAGUGGAAGAAAAAUACCUUGACACCUUCUGAUGAAUUAUC